UGGGAUAACUCCGGGAAACCCGGGGCUAAUACCGNAUGGUUGUUUGAACCGCAUGGUUCAAACAUAAAAGGUGGCUUCGGCUACCACUUACAGAUGGACCCGCGGCGCAUUAGCUAGUUGGUGAGGUAACGGCUCACCAAGGCAACGAUGCGUAGCCGACCUGAGAGGGUGAUCGGCCACACUGGGACUGAGACACGGCCCAGACUCCUACGGGAGGCAGCAGUAGGGAAUCUUCCGCAAUGGACGAAAGUCUGACGGAGCAACGCCGCGUGAGUGAUGAAGGUUUUCGGAUCGUAAAGCUCUGUUGUUAGGGAAGAACAAGUACCGUUNGAAUAGGGCGGUACCUUGACGGUACCUAACCAGAAAGCCACGGCUAACUACGUGCCAGCAGCCGCGGUAAUACGUAGGUGGCAAGCGUUGUCCGGAAUUAUUGGGCGUAAAGGGCUCGCAGGCGGUUUCUUAAGUCUGAUGUGAAAGCCCCCGGCUCAACCGGGGAGGGUCAUUGGAAACUGGGGAACUUGAGUGCAGAAGAGGAGAGUGGAAUUCCACGUGUAGCGGUGAAAUGCGUAGAGAUGUGGAGGAACACCAGUGGCGAAGGCGACUUUUCUGGGUCUGUAACUGACGCUGAGGAGCGAAAGCGUGGGGAGCGAACAGGAUUAGAUACCCUGGUAGUCCACGCCGUAAACGAUGAGUGCUAAGUGUUAGGGGGUUUCCGCCCCUUAGUGCUGCAGCUAACGCAUUAAGCACUCCGCCUGGGGAGUACGGUCGCAAGACUGAAACUCAAAGGAAUUGACGGGGGCCCGCACAAGCGGUGGAGCAUGUGGUUUAAUUCGAAGCAACGCGAAGAACCUUACCAGGUCUUGACAUCCUCUGACAAUCCUAGAGAUAGGACGUCCCCUUCGGGGGCAGAGUGACAGGUGGUGCAUGGUUGUCGUCAGCUCGUGUCGUGAGAUGUUGGGUUAAGUCCCGCAACGAGCGCAACCCUUGAUCUUAGUUGCCAGCAUUCAGUUGGGCACUCUAAGGUGACUGCCGGUGACAAACCGGAGGAAGGUGGGGAUGACGUCAAAUCAUCAUGCCCCUUAUGACCUGGGCUACACACGUGCUACAAUGGACAGAACAAAGGGCAGCGAAACCGCGAGGUUAAGUCAAUCCCACAAAUCUGUUCUCAGUUCGGAUCGCAGUCUGCAACUCGACUGCGUGAANCUGGAAUCGCUAGUAAGCGCGGAUCACCAUGCCGCGGUGAAUAC
rnacentral:rRNA from 2 species